rnacentral:rRNA from 1 species
GAUCAAAUCAAGCGCGAGAAGGGCGUUUGGUGGAUGCCUUGGCAGUAAGAGGCGAUGAAGGACGUGAUAAGCUGCGAUAAGCUGGGGGGAUUGGCACAUACGAUGUGAUCCGCAGAUUUCCGAAUGGGGCAACCCGGCAUGUUGAAGACAUGUCACCAGUAAUGGAGCAAACCCGGUGAACUGAAACAUCUAAGUAGCCGGAGGAAGAGAAAACAAUAGUGAUUCCGUCAGUAGUGGCGAGCGAACGCGGAAAAGCCCAAACCAAUUAGGUUACGGCCUAAUUGGGGUUGUAGGACUACAAUAUUUGAUGCUAAAAGAAUAAGAAUCCUUUGGAAAGAGGAGCCAAAGAAGGUGAUAGCCCUGUAUUGGUAAUUUUAGUUAUUGAUAGUAGUAUCCUGAGU